rnacentral:rRNA from 1 species
ACACGUAGGGGGCGAGCGUUGUCCGGAAUUACUGGGUGUAAAGGGUGCGUGGGCGGCCUUGCAAGUCAGAUGUGAAAGAUCACGGCUUAACUGUGGUAAGCAUUUGAAACUGUAAGGCUUGAGUGCAGGAGAGGAGAGUGGAAUUCCUAGUGUAGCGGUGAAAUGUGUAGAUAUUAGGAAGAAUAUCAGUGGCGAAGGCGGCUCUCUGGACUGCAACUGACGCUGAGGCACGAAAGCGUGGGGAGCAAACAGGAGUAGAUACCCUGGUAGUCCACGCUGGAAACGAUGAGUGCUAGGUGUCGGGGGUCAUACCUCGGUGCCGCAGUUAACGCAUUAAGCACUCCACCUGGGGAGUACGGCCGCGAGGCUGAA